AUACGUAGGUGGCAAGCGUUGUCCGGAUUUAUUGGGCGUAAAGCGAGCGCAGGCGGUUUUUUAAGUCUGAUGUGAAAGCCUUCGGCUCAACCGAAGAAGUGCAUCGGAAACUGGGAAACUUGAGUGCAGAAGAGGACAGUGGAACUCCAUGUGUAGCGGUGAAAUGCGUAGAUAUAUGGAAGAACACCAGUGGCGAAGGCGAUUCUCUGGACUGUAACUGACACUGAGGCACGAAUGCGUGGGUAGC
rnacentral:rRNA from 1 species